GUUCCCUCUCCACCACUUCUCCUUCAUCAUGUGCAGCUUUCCCUCCUCCUGCAGCUGGAGGAUAGCGAUGGUGAUCUUGUCCCGAUACGGCGAGCCUGAGGACAACCACGCAGAUAAGACGGACUUCUCUUACUUGGUUUCGUGUGACCUGACGCUCGUGAGGGGCUGGAUGUCGUACCCAUGGGCGUCCCCACGCCGUACGCCUUGGAGUCGAUCAGGCCGCCGAUCUGCGUCAGGUUACAGUUGCGCUGCGUGACGAACUCGAUGGCGGUGGACUCCAUCAGGAAGGCGUAGUCGGACGUCAGCACCCGGUGGAUGCCCUCCUCCACGCUCUUCACCAUCACCGACUGACGGCGGCUGUUCAUGAACUCCCACAUCUUAUCCAUCAGCACCGUCUUUGAACUGAACCGAAUGGCUCCGAAUGACUCGGUACCUUGAAGAAGGUCAUGGUGGCGCCGUCCUCCACCACGCCGUACAGGAUCUUGGUUUGUUUGGCCAGAUCGUCGGCCGAGUCGAUGGG